CCAGACUCCUACGGGAGGCAGCAGUGAGGAAUAUUGGUCAAUGGGCGCGAGCCUGAACCAGCCAAGUCGCGUGAGGGAUGACGGCCCUACGGGUUGUAAACCUCUUUUGUCGGGGAGCAAAUUCCGUUACGUGUAACGGAGUCGAGAGUACCCGAAGAAAAAGCAUCGGCUAACUCCGUGCCAGCAGCCGCGGUAAUACGGAGGAUGCGAGCGUUAUCCGGAUUUAUUGGGUUUAAAGGGUGCGUAGGCGGGCUUUUAAGUCAGCGGUAAAAUUUCGGGGCUCAACCCCGACAAGCCGUUGAAACUGGCUUGCUAGAGUGGGCGAGAAGUAUGCGGAAUGCGUGGUGUAGCGGUGAAAUGCAUAGAUAUCACGCAGAACUCCGAUUGCGAAGGCAGCAUACCGGCGCCCAACUGACGCUCAGGCACGAAAGCGUGGGUAUCGAACAGGAUUAGAUACCCUGGUA
rnacentral:rRNA from 1 species